UACGUAGGGUGCGAGCGUUGUCCGGAAUUAUUGGGCGUAAAGGGCUCGUAGGCGGCCAACUAAGUCAGACGUGAAAUCCCUCAGCUUAACUGGGGAACUGCGUCUGAUACUGGAUGGCUUGGAUUUGGGAGAGGGAUGCGGAAUUCCAGGUGUAGCGGUGAAAUGCGUAGAUAUCAGGAGGAACACCAAUAGCGAAGGCAGCUCGCUGGGACGGUACUGACGCUGAGGCGCGAAAGCGUGGGGAGCGAACAGG
rnacentral:rRNA from 1 species